UACGGGGAGGAGCUAGCGUUGUUCGGAAUUAGCUAGGGCGUAAAGCGCAGCGUAGGCGGCGGACUCAAAGUACAGAGGUCGAAAAGCCCGGGGCUCAACCCCGGAACUGACCAUUUGAAACUUGAGGUUAGCUAGAAAUCGUUGGAGAGGUACUAGUGGAAUUCCGAGUGGUAGAAGGUCGAAAUUCUAGAUAAGUUACGGGCAAAGAACAACCGAGUGGCGAAGGCGGACUUCGACUGG
rnacentral:rRNA from 1 species